ACUAUUUUGGCAGAUUAGUGUAAUAAAUUUAGAAUUUAUAAAUGUAUGUAAAUACAAAUAGUA
rnacentral:tRNA from 1 species